UACGUAGGGUGCGAGCGUUGUCCGGAAUUAUUGGGCGUAAAGGGCUCGUAGGCGGCCUGUUGCGUCUGCCGUGAAAGCCCGGGGCUUAACUCCGGGUAUGCGGUGGAUACGGGCAGGCUAGAGUUCGGUAGGGGAGACUGGAAUUCCUGGUGUAGCGGUGAAAUGCGCAGAUAUCAGGAGGAACACCGGUGGCGAAGGCGGGUCUCUGGGCCGACACUGACGCUGAGGAGCGAAAGCGUGGGGAGCGAAACAGGAUUAGAUACCCCGGUAGUCCCUGAGCGGG
rnacentral:rRNA from 1 species